rnacentral:lncRNA from 1 species
UAUUUUUCAGCCCUUGCCAGAACGGUGGUGCAGUGAUGUAUUACCUGCCAACAGCACAAUGUGAGGCAGGGUCCAGCCGUUCUGCCCAGCAUACAACUUGAGGGAGCAGCCCCUUUUGAAGACCUCCAGGUGGACUUCACAGGAAUGCCAAAGUGUGGAGGUGAUCAUGUGUGGAUCAAGGACUGGAAUGUAGCCCACCCACAACUACGGUGGGAAGGACCCCAGACCAUCAUUUUGACGACUCUCACAGCAUGAAAAUAGAAGGAUUCCCAGCCUGGAUCAAUCACAGUCAUGUAUCAUCUACAUUGUCUGAGACCUGAGAGGUGAGACUGAGCCUGGUGGACCCCUGCAAAGUGACAUUGAGAAAGAUGGCAAGCCCUGCUACAGUCACAACCAGAAGCUUACUGUUGUAUGCAUGGCAAAAGAAUGAGGAUACUCAUCAUGGGAUUUAUUCUCCUUAAAAUUUGUACUUCUAUAAUAAAGACUGAUUUUUCC